AUUUUGACCGUGCAAAGGUAGCAUAAUCAUUAGUUUCUUAAUUAGAGGCUUGAAUGAAUGGUUUGACGAGAAAUUAACUGUCUCUUAAUAAUUUUUAGAAUUUAACUUUUAAGUUAAAAGGCUUAAAUUUUCUUUUAGGACGAGAAGACCCUAUAGAGCUUUACAUUUAUAAAUUUUUAUAUUAUUUUAGAUUAUUUUUAAUUAAACAUUUUUGAUGUUUGGUUGGGGUGACUUGAAGAAUAAAUAAACUCUUCAUUAUUAAAUCAUUAAUUUAUGUUUAUUUGAUCCAUAAUUUAUGAUCAUAAGAUUAAGUUACCUUAGGGAUAACAGCGUAA
rnacentral:rRNA from 1 species